AUGACGUCAAGUCCUCAUGGCCUUAUGCCCAGGGCUACACACGUGCUACAAUGGGCGGUACAAAGAGAAGCAACCUCGCGAGGGUGAGCAAAUCUCAAAAAGCCGUUCUCAGUUCGGAUUGAAGUCUGCAACUCGACUUCAUGAAGUCGGAAUCGCUAGUAAUCGCGGAUCAGCAUGCCGCGGUCGAAUACGUUCCCGGGCCUU
rnacentral:rRNA from 1 species